rnacentral:rRNA from 1 species
UGGGGAAUAUUGCACAAUGGGGGAAACCCUGAUGCAGCGACGCCGCGUGAGCGAGGAAGUAUUUCGGUAUGUAAAGCUCUGUCAGCAGGGAAGAAGAGAGUUGAAAUACACUCUCCAAUGACGGUACCUGAAGAAGAAGCACCGGCUAAAUACGUGCCAGCAGCCGCGGUAAUACGUAUGGUGCAAGCGUUAUCCGGAUUUACUGGGUGUAAAGGGAGCGCAGGCGGUCCUGCAAGUCUGGUGUGAAAGCCCGGGGCUCAACCCCGGUACUGCAUUGGAAACUGAUCGGACUAGAGUGUCGGAGGGGUAAGUGGAAUUCCUAGUGUAGCGGUGAAAUGCGUAGAUAUUAGGAGGAACACCAGUGGCGAAGGCGGCUUACUGGACGAUUACUGACGCUGAGGCUCGAAAGCGUGGGGAGCAAACAGGAUUAGAUACCC